AGUGAGAUAGUCUAAAAAAGGCGUCAGACUGUAGAUCUGAAAAUAACAAGUAAGUUUCUCACAA
rnacentral:tRNA from 1 species